rnacentral:rRNA from 1 species
AAUUAAUGAAUUAAUUAUAAUUAGUUAAAUUUUAUAUGAAGUUCAAUAUUAAGUUUAGAAAUAUUGGCGGUGUUUUAUUAAAUUCUGAGAAUCUUGCAUAAUUAAAAUGAUAGUACACAAUUUAUCUUAUCUUAGUUUUGUUGGUUUAUAUAUUGCUGUUUUAUUUAUGGUUUGGUUUUGAUAAAAUAGGUAAAAGGAUUUUGUAGUAAGAAGUUCAAGUCAAAAUAUAGUUUUAUUAAGGUUUAUGUGAGUUGCUUUUGUUUAGAAAAUAGGAAUAAUAAAGUAAAAUGAAAUUUUAUAUAAGAAGGGAUUAGGUUGUAAGGGAAAAAUUAAUAAGUUUUCUUGAUAAAUUAUAUGAACAUGU